UAUACUAAUUAUCUAGAACUAAUGAAUAUAUACUUAAUAUCUAGGACUAAUGAAUAUUUUACUGAAUUGUCUAUACAUAUUUUCUUCUCUACUUUCAUCCUUCACGCCCCCUGCACGUGCCCAAAACAGGAAUCAAGAUGGCAGUCUGAUUAUAGAUCAUGCAGCAAUCUGCAUACACCCAAAGUCUAAACCAUUCCGGCCUCCAGACGCUCAGUACCGCACAUGGAGCGAAACCCACAGGAGUACCGGGUCCACCGUAGAUACCCACAUAGACCAGCGAAGUGUCUUUUCCGGAAGCGGAAGUUUCGCAUACACACUGCCAAGCAGACGAUGACGCCUUGAAACGCAAUCACCUGACCUAAUUCCUCAUUCCUGUGAAGAAAACAUUCCGAUUUCAAAAUUGAGAGGAAACUAAAUGCAAAAGUUUCCAUGAACAAUGGCGUAGAGAUCUCAAGGGGAGAGAAGCCACUGCAUAGUUUCGUCUCAUACAAAGUGUAAUAAUAAAAGAAAUGUAAUAAAUACA
rnacentral:sRNA from 1 species